CAGUCGAGCGGUAACAGAGAGUGCCUUGCUACUUUGCUGACGAGCGGCAGAGGGGUGAGUAGCGUGUAAGAAUCUGCCUGGUAGUGGGGGAUAGCCCAGAAAAAUUUGGAUUAAUACCGCAUACUCCCUACGGGGGAAAGGAGGGGAUCUAUUUAUAUACCUUUCUCUAUCACAUGAGCCUGCGUGAGAUUAGCUUGUUGGUGAGGUAAAGGCUCACCAAGGCCACUAUCUCUAGCUGGACUGAGAGGAUGAUCACCCACACUGGGACUGAGACACGGCCCAU
rnacentral:rRNA from 1 species